CCUAGGUGUGGUGAUGCAUGCCUAUAGUCCCAGCUACUCAAGAGGCUGAGGCAGGAGGAUUGCUUGUGUCCAGGUAUUCUGGGCUGUAAUGCGCUAUGUCUAUGGGUGUCUGCAUUAAGUUCAGCAUCAAUAUGGUGACCUUCUGGGAGCAGGGGACCACAGGUUGCCUAAGAAGGGGUGAACUGGCCCAGGUCAGAAACAGACCAGGUCAAAAUUCUGGUGCUGAUCAGUAGUGGUAUCUUACCUGUGAAUAGCCACUGCACUCCAGCCUGGACAACAUAGUGAGACCCAUCUCUA
ensembl:misc_RNA Metazoa_SRP Metazoan signal recognition particle RNA